GAAAUGCGAUAAGUAGUGUGAAUUGCAGAAUUCAGUGAAUCAUCGAAUCUUUGAACGCACAUUGCGCCUUCUGGUAUUCCGGGAGGCAUGCCUGUCCGAGCGUCAUGAAGCAAACUCCUCAAGCAUUUUGUUGCUUGGUCCUGGGGGAACAGGUGCGUGAGCUCCUGUCCCCUGCAAUUCAUAGGCGGAGACCACUGCGACAUCAGGUGUGAUAGAUAACCUUUUCACUUGAUGCCUCGUAGAUGCCGGUUCUUGCCGCAGCAACCAAGCCCCCCAGCUAUACAUUCGGUUUGACCUCGGAUCAGGUAGGGAUACCCGCUGAACUUAA
rnacentral:misc_RNA from 1 species